rnacentral:rRNA from 1 species
UACGGGGGGGGCAAGCGUUGUUCGGAAUUACUGGGCGUAAAGCGCACGUAGGCGGCUUUGUAAGCUAGAGGUGAAAGCCCGGGGCUCAACUCCGGAAUUGCCUUUAAGACUGCAUCGCUAGAAUUGUGGAGAGGUAAGUGGAAUUCCGAGUGUAGAGGUGAAAUUCGUAGAUAUUCGGAAGAACACCAGUGGCGAAGGCGGACUAACUGGACAUGUAUUGACGCU